rnacentral:tRNA from 1 species
GCACUCGUAGCUCAGAGGAUAGAGCAAUCGCCUCCUAAGCGAUAGGUCGGAUGUUCAAAUCAUCUCGGGUGCG